UACGUAGGGUGCGAGCGUUAAUCGGAAUUACUGGGCGUAAAGCGUGCGCAGGCGGUGAUGUAAGACCGAUGUGAAAUCCCCGGGCUAACCUGGGAACUGCAUUGGUGACUGCAUUGCUGGAGUAUGGCAGAGGGGGGUGGAAUUCCACGUGUAGCAGUGAAAUGCGUAGAGAUGUGGAGGAACACCGAUGGCGAAGGCAGCCUCCUGGGCCAGCCACUGACGCUCAUGCACGAAAGCGUGGGGAGCAAACAGG
rnacentral:rRNA from 1 species